UACGUAGGGGGGCAAGCGUUGUCCGGAAUCAUUGGGCGUAAAAGAGCGUGUAGGCGGUCCGGUCAGUCGGUUGUGAAAGUCAAGGGCUCAACCCUUGAAUGCCGGCCGAUACUGCCGGGCUAGAGUCCGGAAGAGGUGAGUGGAAUUCCUGGAUGUAGCGGUGAAAUGACGCAGAUAUCAGGAGGAACACCGAUGGCGAAGGCAGCUCACUGGGACGGUACUGACGCUGAGGAGCGAAAGCGUGGGGAGCGAACAGG
rnacentral:rRNA from 1 species